AUUCAAUUGUAUCUGAGAGUUCAUUAGUGUCUAAGGAGCUUGAACAGAAUGUAACAUUAAGAUGCAGUUAUUCCACCACAAGCAACACUCCAUAUCUUUACUGGUACCGUCAAUAUCCAAAUGAAAUUCAGUAUCUCCUACAUAGGGGAGCCAGGAAUUACAAAAACUUUAAGUAUUAUGGGAAAUUUCCAUCUGGGAAAUUUCAUACAGAGACAAGUGAAACGCAUACUGAUUUAAUCAUCACUGGCCUGACAGUGGAAGAUUCUGCCUUGUACUUGUGUGCUUUCAGUGAUGGUGCACAGUGACACUUGAACAUAGGAACUUCAUGUAAAAAUAUCACUCUGCACACUGUGUUUGGGUCCAG